UUUGUGACAUAUAAAGACAAUUUUAUGAAAUCUCACCUUCAAUGUCAGGACGCUCUGAGAUAUGAGGACAUUUUUGGAGUCCUCAUUUUUCCGAGCUCACUACAGUGUUCUAGACGACCAUAGAAUGCCCCUAAACCAAAAAUCUGAAAAGUCUUUAAAUGUCACAAUCUUAUGAUUUGAAGUGUGUGAGUGUGUUUAUGCUUUUUGCUCACCUAUGAAUACGCCAACUAGUGGUCAGUUGUGGAACAUUAACACACUUUAAACACACUUUAGUCACGUGACACACUUUAGUCACGUGACACAUAUCGUGUGAUAUUGUUUGCGCACACUUUCAAACUAUCCAAGAUAGAUUUACUUGAAUACACAUAAUACAUGUCAUCAACUAUAACUAUAAUUAAUACGUAAUUUAGCAUCAAUUAGCUGAAAGGAAUGAAAAGGACUUUUGCCACAUGGAAAAUUCAGAACUGGAAGAAGUGCAAGAGAAAUGAAGAUGUUUUCUAGUUGAGGAGCAGAUGGGAAAUUGAAGAGCAUGUCAAAACGAAGAGCCAGACUUAGUCCUGAGGCUGAGGCUAUUCAUUUUAUUAUUUCUGGAAGUGACAAGCCUUGUUAUAAAGUCAAAAGGAUCAAUGACUAUAAAGGACGUGGUGUAUUUGCCUCAGCACCAAUUGAAAAGGGAUCCUUUGUCCUCGAGUACCGUGGGGAGUUUAUAUCGCAAUAUGAACGGGACAAGAGGCAGGGGAAGUAUACGGAAAAGCAAAAUGCUUUCUUGUUUGAUUUUGAAUGGAACAAUGGCUCAUGGUGCAUAGAUGCAUCCUGCGAAGACGGUUCACUGGGGCGGCUGGUAAAUGAUGCCCACAGGUCCCCAAAUUGCAAAAUGAAAAAGAUGAUAGUCCAAUGUAAACCUCAUCUUUGCUUGUUUGCUAUUGAAAACAUCCAAGCAGAGAGUGAAAUAACCUAUGAUUAUGGAGAAUCUCUGUGGCCAUGGCGUGCUCUGACACCAAGUGACAAGAUCCCAGCACAACCUUCAGCAGACC